GUAAUUAAUUCGCGUCAGACGCGGAGACAUUCUUUAGUUUACGAGGGUGUGUAAAAUAGGCAACGCCCCCUCGAACGAGGGACGCACCUCCAAAGUUCACAGGUGUGUGUGUGGUAAAAGGGACGUGCACAUGCCGAAGCCAGCACAGUACCCGAAUCGACUCGAUAAUGAUCCUUCCGCAGGUUCACCUACGGAAA
rnacentral:misc_RNA from 1 species